rnacentral:rRNA from 1 species
AACGAACGCUGGCGGCAUGCCUAACACAUGCAAGUCGAACGAGACCUUCGGGUCUAGUGGCGCACGGGUGCGUAACGCGUGGGAAUCUGCCCUUGGGUUCGGAAUAACAGUUGGAAACGACUGCUAAUACCGGAUGAUGACGUAAGUCCAAAGAUUUAUCGCCCAAGGAUGAGCCCGCGUAGGAUUAGCUAGUUGGUGAGGUAAAGGCCCACCAAGGCGACGAUCCUUAGCUGGUCUGAGAGGAUGAUCAGCCACACUGGGACUGAGACACGGCCCAGACUCCUACGGGAGGCGGCAGUGGGGAAUAUUGGACAAUGGGCGGAAGGCUGAUCCAGCAAUGCCGCGUGAGUGAUGAAGGCCUUAGGGUUGUAAAGCUCUUUUACCCGGGAUGAUAGUGACAGUACCGGGAGAAUAAGCUCCGGCUAACUCCGUG